CCUACGGGAGGCUGCAGUGGGGGAUAUUGCACAAUGGGGGGAACCCUUAUGCAGCGACGCCGCGUGGGUGAAGAAGCGCCUUCGCGCGUAAAGCCCUGUCAGUAGGGAAGAAAAUUACGGUACCUGAAGAACAAGCCCCGGCUACCUCCGUGCCAGCAGCCGCGGCCAGACGGAGGGGGCAAGCGUUAUCCGGAUUCACCGGGGGUAAAGGGGGCGCAGGCGGAGAGGGAAGCCAGGAGUGAAAGCCCGGGGCCCAACCCCGGGACUGCACAUGGAACUGCGAGGCUGGAGUACAGGAGGGGCAGGCGGAAUUCCUGGUGUAGCAGUGAAAUGCGUAGAUAUCAGGAGGAACACCGGUGGCGAAGGCGGCCUGCUGGACUGCAACUGACGUUGAGGCCCGAAGGCGUGGGGAGCGAACGGGAUUAGAUACCCCUGUAGUC
rnacentral:rRNA from 1 species